AUUACAUUAGUAUAAAUAAAGAAGUACAUUAGUUUUUCUUUCUAACAGUCUAUUAGAUGUAAUA
rnacentral:tRNA from 1 species